rnacentral:lncRNA from 1 species
AUUUAGUGCUGGGUGCGGGAAGAUGUGCAGGACAAAGCACGAUCUCAAAGAGUUCAGAGAUGAUGAGUAUUUUUGAAGCCUGCUCUCGGUUGUAUCUCUUCUGAAAAUACCUCUGGGUUGUUCUUCAGCAAGGGCACUGCCUUUACAUUCAGCCAGAUGAGUUGCAACCAUCAACAGCACAUUGCCCUGAUGUGAGCCAGAAAGGAACAAAGGGGUGAGAGCAGCCAAGAGGCACAAGGGAGACCUCUGUGACCAUACAACUGCCGUCAAGCUGGGUGAUCUAAUGCUUCAGUCCUUCAUCAAGAAGGGAAUGGUGGGAAAGGCAAGGGCACAGGCUGGAGCAGCCCUAGGUCCAUCAGCUCUGCUGCUAAAUUUUCACUUGUGGAUAAUCUAAUGUCUUUGUAAAACACUACAAUUCCAAAAGGUAAUGCAGGACAACACUUAGUUCUCUAAUAUGUGAGUAAUCUUAGGUACCACCUGCAUUCUCAUUCUGUAUUAGUAGCAGUAGUAGUAAUAAUAAUAAUG